rnacentral:rRNA from 1 species
UACGUAGGUCCCGAGCGUUGUCCGGAUUUAUUGGGCGUAAAGCGAGCGCAGGUGGUUUAUUAAGUCUGGUGUAAAAGGCAGUGGCUCAACCAUUGUAUGCAUUGGGAACUACCGGGCUGGAGUGCCGGAGAGGUAGGCGGAAUUCCUAGUGUAGCGGUGAAAUGCGUAGAUAUUAGGAGGGACACCAGUGGCGAAGGCGGCCUACUGGACGGUGACUGACGCUGAGGCUCGAAAGCGUGGGGAGCAAACAGG